UGCCAGUGUCACGCAGCAGCUGAAGCAUCACAUGACAAUGCGACUCCCUCUGCUUUCUCAAACUUCUGAGUAGAAACAAUGGAUUGUCUUUCCUCUCCUCUGUGUCUUCAGCCCAGACAUCUGCCAAUGUCUCGACUCUUAGGUCAACUAAAGUUCAUUCCUCAUCAGGCUUAGUUUGUGACGAGGACUUCACAAGACAUUAAGAGUACAAACACGGGCACACAGAAGUCCAUGUUGAAAGAGAGAUAAAGAGUUUUCUUUCAGACCUGUCACUUGUUUGGAUUCUUCCUCAUGCUCCCCCCCCUCCUUUCCUAAGGGGAGCAGUGAAAAUGACAACGUUUCAUCACUUGCUGUUUGAGCUGCUGCUUUGGGAGCCGCCUGACAGGUUCUUCUUCCUUGGCUACAGAGAAGAGAUGUGAUCAUCUAUGUUGAGACAAGAAAUGGUGCUAGGCAGAUGCAUGCAAGUUUUGGCUGUUGGAAUGAAGCAGAGAGUUCAGUUUUUUACUGAAGAUCAACAUAUUUGUUGUCAUGUCAGUGUUAUUUCUCUUAUUAGUUAUUCCUACAGCCCAAGCAACUUUGGCUCCAUCCAUCUCUGAUGCCUCUCUACAAUGAAUCUUCCUGUGUUUGAAUGGUAAAUAGGAAAAACAUGAUCUUUGACACAGUUAUGCAGUGGCCUUAUUAAUCAAAUGCAUGAAAAGUUACCACAGCUUUAUGCAUUUACCCUAAAGACUACACAAACAGGAAAAACAAUCAGCAACAUUUUAAUUUUUUUGGCACUUGAUAUUCAUUUCAUUUCA